GCCUUCGUGGCGUAAUGGUCAGCACACUCGGCGCGUAUUCGAGAGGUCCGAGGUUCGAAUCCUGGCGAGGGCA
rnacentral:tRNA from 1 species